rnacentral:rRNA from 1 species
AUGGACAACUACCAGGAAGAGUGUGCCACCAUCUCUGACACCGCUCUGUCUGGAGCAUCCCAUCCCAAAACCAUUCAGCUAAGAGCUCUGAUUGGAAAUCAAGUUGUGUUAAUACUUCUGGAUUCAGGGAGCACUCACACCUUUGUGGAUCAAGCAUUGCUGGACAGAGUUUCAGUACCUGCCUAGACAAUGAAGAAACCCAUGCAAGUGAAAGUGGCAAAUGGAGGACUGGUGGAUUGCACCAAAUUUGUACCUGAACUGACCUGGUGGAUUCAGGGGCAUAGUUUUUCCAGUGCCAUGCAAGUUCUUCCACUAGGAGGGUAUGAUAUUAUCCUAGGAAUGGACUGGCUGGAGAAAUGGGGUGUGAUGUAGUGACACUGGGCUGAGAAGUGGAUUCAGUUUGAAUAUCAACAGAAAACUGUCAGAUUGCAAGGAGUACUGCCUGCUAAAACAGAACCAAUUAAGGAAGUUUCUAUGGAACAACUCAAGAAGUGGGAAAAAGGAAAUGACAUAUGGGGAACAGCUAUGUUGCAUCAUAUUGUUGUCAGU